UGUUCAGCGCUGGGUAGAGACGGCGUUUCCUCUAUCCAUGUCGUUGUUAGAGACGGCGAGGCUGGUGUGGGACUACACGCAUCUGUCGGCCGUGGAGAUGCGGCGCGGUGAGGCAUUGGCACAUGAGCACCGACAGCAUGCUGCAGCUCUAGCGACCACAGCGGAAACGUCGGCCACGCCAUCAGAGCCCCCUCACUGGAGGUCGUGGGCGAUGACGGAGGUUGUCUAUCGCCAGCACGACCUGCUCAGCAAGCUCUUCGGCAUCUCCUCUAUCGUGCCUGUGGCGAUGAUGAUGCUCUUGGCUGGGCUGACGAGUGCGCCAUGCCGCGAGCGUCGCAUACCCGCCAUGAAUCUUAUUCUUUACCUCAUCCUGAGCGUGUGCCUGAACGUGGUGCUCAAGGCAACCGUCCGCAGCCCACGCCCCGCUCACCCAGCAGCAGGCAUGAGCUACACCACAGUGUACGGAAUGCCGAGCGACCACGCACAGUUCAUGGCGGGCUUUUCCGUUUACCUCCUGCGCCGCUGGACACGCGCGCGACGCAAUCGCACGGAACGGCGCAAAUAUAGUCAUCUUCAGCAGCGGAAGGCCGCCUCCGCAUCGGCGGCGUUGGCAAGGACCUCAUCGCCGUAUGCACUGGUGGCAUUGCUGCUGUUCGCGACGCUUUUCAUCGGCGUCGGCCGUGUCUACAAUGGCUACCACACCGUUGGGCAAGCGCUCGUGGGGUGGAUGGUGGGGAUUGCGCUGGCGUUCGCGUGCACCACCGCACACGUGCAGCGCGGGUUCACGUGGGUGUCGGAGAAGGUGCUAGUGCCAGUCAUGCUUGUGUGCACUUUCUGGACGGAAGCGAUCUGCUGAGCGCCCUCAGCGCUCUCCAGGAGAGCCUUGCCGUUCUCGCUUUUGUGGCCAUGAGACACCUUGCCGGGAGAGAAUGCCUCAUCAGUAGUGGGGGGGGGGAACGUGAGAGAGAGGCAAUGCCCUAAAGAAGACGAUCGAAACACCCACGUGACAGGCAGCUCGCUUAGAAGUCCCUCUUGCUGCUCCACCCAACUGGUGGGUAUGACAGUGGCGAAGACAUCGCGUAUACGGCGGCGGCAGGACAAGGCCGUCAUCUGUCGCACAUUAUUUCCGCCGUGCCGUAUCACGUGCUGCACUUGGUGCAUGUCUGCGUGCUUUUCUCUCUGCAGGGGAGGGGAGGGGGUAACAAGAUGGAAAAGGGAAAGGGGCCCUGCAGCACUUCUCUUCUCUGCCGCGCUUGGUUGUGUUGUCCGCGCCAUCGCGCAUCUCUUCCCUCCUCUCGCUACCUCACCCCACUCGUCCCCCACCUCCCUCUCUGCUGACGCCUCUCAAG
rnacentral:misc_RNA from 1 species